rnacentral:rRNA from 1 species
AGAGUUUGAUCCUGGCUCAGGAUGAACGCUGGCGGCGUGCUUAACACAUGCAAGUCGAACGAAGCACUUUUGACGGAAGUUUUCGGAUGGAAGAUGAAAGUGACUUAGUGGCGGACGGGUGAGUAACGCGUGGGUAACCUGCCUCGUACAGGGGGACAACAGUUGGAAACGACUGCUAAUACCGCAUAACCCGCUAGAGUCGCAUGACUCAGACGGAAAAGAUUUAUCGGUACGAGAUGGACCCGCGUCUGAUUAGCUAGUUGGUGAGGUAACGGCUCACCAAGGCGACGAUCAGUAGCCGGCCUGAGAGGGUGAACGGCCACAUUGGGACUGAGACACGGCCCAAACUCCUACGGGAGGCAGCAGUGGGGAAUAUUGGGCAAUGGGCGCAAGCCUGACCCAGCAACGCCGCGUGAAGGAAGAAGGCCCUCGGGUUGUAAACUUCUUUUAUUCGGGACGAAACAAAUGACGGUACCGAAUGAAUAAGCCACGGCUAACUACGUGCCAGCAGCCGCGGUAAUACGUAGGUGGCAAGCGUUAUCCGGAUUUACUGGGUGUAAAGGGUGCGCAGGCGGGCGAUUAAGUCAGCGGUGAAAGGCUCGGGCUCAACCGGAGCAGUGCCGUUGAUACUGGUUGUCUUGAAUGCGGUCAAGGCCGGCGGAAUGUGGCGUGUAGCGGUGAAAUGCAUAGAUAUGCCACAGAACACCGAUAGCGAAGGCAGCUGGCCGGGCCUGCAUUGACGCUCAGGCACGAAAGCGUGGGGAUCGAACAGGAUUAGAUACCCUGGUAGUCCACGCUGUAAACGAUGGACACUCGUUGUCGGCGACAGACAGUCGGCGGCCAAGCGAAAGUGAUAAGUGUCCCACCUGGGGAGUACGGUCGCAAGGCUGAAACUCAAAGGAAUUGACGGGGGCCCGCACAAGCGGAGGAACAUGUGGUUUAAUUCGAUGAUACGCGAGGAACCUUACCCGGGUUUGAACGUAGUUUGACAGGGGUGGAAACACUUUUUCUAGCAAUAGCAAAUUACGAGGUGCUGCAUGGUUGUCGUCAGCUCGUGCCGUGAGGUGUCGGCUUAAGUGCCAUAACGAGCGCAACCCUUAUCACUAGUUACUAACAGGUAUAGCUGAGGACUCUGGUGAGACUGCCAGCGUAAGCUGUGAGGAAGGUGGGGAUGACGUCAAAUCAGCACGGCCCUUACAUCCGGGGCGACACACGUGUUACAAUGGCAUGGACAAAGGGCAGCUACCUGGCGACAGGAUGCUAAUCUCCAAACCAUGUCUCAGUUCGGAUCGGAGUCUGCAACUCGACUCCGUGAAGCUGGAUUCGCUAGUAAUCGCGCAUCAGCCAUGGCGCGGUGAAUACGUUCCCGGGCCUUGUACACACCGCCCGUCA